UCAGACUUUCUUGUUCUGAUU
rnacentral:piRNA from 1 species